rnacentral:rRNA from 1 species
UAUCUGUACACCUGUUGCUUCGGCGUGGCCACGGCCCGCCGGAGACUAACAUUUGAACGCUGUCUGAAGUUUGCAGUCUGAGUUUUUAGUUAAACAAUCGUUAAAACUUUCAACAACGGAUCUCUUGGUUCCGGCAUCGAUGAAGAACGCAGCGAAAUGCGAUAAUUAAUGUGAAUUGCAGAAUUCAGUGAAUCAUCGAGUCUUUGAACGCACAUUGCGCCCCCUGGUAUUCCGGGGGGCAUGCCUGUCCGAGCGUCAUUGCUGCCCUCAAGCACGGCUUGUGUGUUGGGCUUCCGUCCCUGGCAACGGGGACGGGCCCAAAAGGCAGUGGCGGCACCAUGUCUGGUCCUCGAGCGUAUGGGGCUUUGUCACCCGCUCCCGUAGGUCCAGCUGGCAGCUAGCCUCGCAACCAAUCUUUUUAACCAGGUUGACCUCGGAUCAGGUAGGGAUACCCGCUGAACUUAAGCAUAUCAAUAAGCCGGAGG